rnacentral:rRNA from 1 species
AGACUCUGUGCGCGUGCAUAUCAAUAAGCGGAGGAAAAGAAACUAACAAGGAUUCCCUUAGUAACGGCGAGUGAAGCGGGAAGUAGCUCAAAUUUGAAAUCUUCAAGGUUCUACCUUGACGAAUUGUAGUUUAUAGAAGUGUUUUCUGUUAGUAGAGUGGCAAAAGUUCUUUGGAAUAGGACAUCAUAGAGGGUGAGAAUCCCGUAUUUGGUCAUUCCUCCUAGCUUUGUGAUACACUUUCAACGAGUCGGAUUGUUUGGGAAUGCAGUCCAAAAUGGGUGGUAAAUUUCAUCUAAAGUUAAAUAUUGGCGAGAGACCGAUAGCGAACAAGUACCGUGAGGGAAAGAUGAAAAGAACUUUGAAAAGAGAGUUAAACAGUACGUGAAAUUGUCAAAAGGGAAGCGUUUGACACCAGUGUUGUUUUUCCGAAAAUCAAUUACGAAUGUUUUAUUUUUGAGAAGUUAUGACUUCAUCGGCUUGCUCUCUUCUUUAUGAAACUUUCUUAAUGCACUUUUCGGUUAACAAGUCAACAUCAAUUUCUUUUGUUGUAAAAGGGUAUGAGGAAGGUGGCUUUCUUUUCGGAGAAAGUGUUUAUAGCCUUGUACCUCUGCAAUCGGAGAGAUUGAGGUCUGCAGCGUAGAUCCUUCGGGGUUAGAUACAUUUGUGCUAAGUUAUAGCUUUUCAUAGACAACUUGUUGACUAUGUUUAGUCUUGUAGCUUACUCGCUUACUGCUAUUUUACCUACGCUUAGGAUGGUGACAGCAGUAUAGACUGU